rnacentral:rRNA from 1 species
ACGAGAAUAUUCCACAAUGGGCGAAAGCCUGACCGAGCGACGCCGCGUGGUUGAUGAAGUCCUUCGGGAUGUAAAAACCUUUUGUCGGGGAGAAAGUAAUUGAUAGUACCCGAAGAAUAAGGGGUUGCUAAACUCGUGCCAGCAGCAGCGGUAAUACGAGUGCCCCAAGCGUUAUCCGGAAUCAUUGGGCGUAAAGGGUGUGUAGGUGGUCUUGUUAGUCUUCUGUGAAAUUCUUCGGCUCAACCGGGGGUCCGCAGGGGAAACGGCAAGACUAGAGGAUGUGAGAGGUGAAUGGAACUCAUGGUGUAGGGGUGAAAUCCGUUGAUAUCAUGGGGAACACCAAAAGCGAAGGCAAUUCACUGGCGCAUUCCUGACACUCAAACACGAAAGCGUGGGUAGCGAAUGGGAUUAGAUACCCCCGUAGUCC